rnacentral:rRNA from 1 species
AGCCUGCCCAGUGACUUUGUUCAACGGCCGCGGUAUCCUAACCGUGCGAAGGUAGCGUAAUCACUUGUUCUUUAAAUAAGGACUAGUAUGAACGGCAUCACGAGGGUUACACUGUCUCCUUUUUCCAAUCAGUGAAACUAAUCUUCCCGUGAAGAAGCGGGAAUAUAAAUAUAAGACGAGAAGACCCUAUGGAGCUUAAAAUAACUCAACAUUUGCUUAAACCAUUAAAAAUUUCAGAACUUUAACUUCUAUGAGCAAUAUGAUUGUAAAUUUUUGGUUGGGGUGACCACGGAGAACAACACAACCUCCAUGUUGAAAGAACUCCUUCUUAACUGAGAACUACUAAUCAAAGCAUCAACACACUGACAUUCCUUGACCCAAUAUAAUUGAUCAACGAACCAAGUUACCCUAGGGAUAACAGCGCAAUCUACUUCAAGAGCUCCUAUCGACAAGUGGGUUUACGACCUCGAUGUUGGAUCAGGGUAUCCCAGUGGUGUAGCCGCUACUAAAGGUUUGUUUGUUCAACGAUUAAAACCCUACGUGAUCUGAGU